AUGCACAGUGCGGUGGUGCGGCGGCCUCAAAAGGUGGGGCACCGACACCUGCAGCUUGUGCACGCAUCUCCUGCAUCCCGCAACCUUCUCCUUCCCGGCACAGCAGGAGCAGGAGCAAGGAUGCCGAGGCGGUUCAGGUUGUACACUGUUGAACUGAGAAAGUGUCUCAUUGGGGUGUGGAGUGGGAGAGGAGUGGUAUUUUAUCUAUUCAGUUUCAAGUCAGAUGGAAAAUUUUGUUUCCCUUGGUUAGUAUAUUGCAAGACAGAGCAAAACUUGAUUGUGUAUAUAUUCUGUUUUUAA
rnacentral:rRNA from 1 species